AGUGAACGCUGGCGGUAGGCCUAACACAUGCAAGUCGAGCGGCAGCACAGUAAGAGCUUGCUCUUACGGGUGGCGAGUGGCGGACGGGUGAGGAAUACAUCGGAAUCUACUUUUUCGUGGGGGAUAACGUAGGGAAACUUACGCUAAUACCGCAUACGACCUACGGGUGAAAGCAGGGGAUCUUCGGACCUUGCGCGAUUGAAUGAGACGAUGUCGGAUUAGCUAGUUGGCGGGGUAAAGGCCCACCAAGGCGACGAUCCGUAGCUGGUCUGAGAGGAUGAUCAGCCACACUGGAACCGAGACACGGUCCAGACUCCUACGGGAGGCAGCAGUGGGGAAUAUUGGACAAUGGGCGCAAGCCUGAUCCAGCCAUACCGCGUGGGUGAAGAAGGCCUUCGGGUUGUAAAGCCCUUUUGUUGGGAAAGAAAAGCAGCAGGUUAAUACCCCGCUGUUCUGACGGUACCCAAAGAAUAAGCACCGGCUAACUUCGUG
rnacentral:rRNA from 1 species